UUUCAUGACAAUAACUUGUGUGUAAGUGUAUGGAUCGCUCUGACAUUGUAUCACAAGGUUCCAUAUCACAAAGGGAAUGCUGGGAUUGAUUUUGGGGGUAAUUGCCUUCAAAUUUUAGGAAAAAGGGGCAAAAAAGGGGCAAAAAACAAGCAUUUUUCUAGUUUCAUGACAAUAACUUGUGUGUAAGUGUAUGGAUUUUUAUGAAAUUGUACUACAAGGUUCCAUAUCACAAAGGGAAAGCUGGAAUUGAGUUUGGGGGUAAUUGCCUAAAAAGUUCAGGAAUAAGGGGCCAAAAAGGGGCCAAAAAUAAGCAUUUUUCUAGUUUCCAGACAAUAACUUGUGUGUAAGUGUAUGGAUCUCUCUGAAAUUGUACUGCAAGGUACCAUACCACAAAGGGAAUGCUGGGAUUGAUUUUGGGGGUAAUUGCUUCCAAAUUUUAGGAAUUUGGGGUCAAAAAGGGGCAAAAUACAAGCAUUUUUCUAGUUUCAUGACAAUAACUUGUGUGUAAGUGUAUGGAUCUUUAUGAAAUUGUACUACAAGGUUCCAUAUCACAAAGGAAAAGAUGGAAUUGAGUUUGGGGGUAAUUGCCCAAAAAGUUUAGGAAAAAGGGGCCAAAAAUAAGCAUUUUUCUAGUUUCCAGACAAUAACUUGUGUUCAGGUGUAUGGAUCUCUCUGAAAUUGUACUGCAAGGUACCAUACCACAAAAGGAAGGCUGGGAUUGAUUUUGGGGGUAAUUCCCUCAAAAUUUUAGGAAUUAGGGGCCAUAAAAGGGCCAAAAAACAAGCAUUUUUCUAGUUUCAGGACAAUAACUUGUGUGUAAGUGUAUGGAUCUGUAUGAAAUUGUACUGCAAGAUUCCAUAUCACAAAGGAAAGCUGGGUUUGAGUUUGGGGGUAAUUGCCCUAAACGUUUAGGAAUUUGGGGCCAAAAAGGGGCCAAAAAACAAGCAUUUUUCUAGUUUCAUGACAUUAACUUGUGUGUAAUUGUAUGGAUCUUUAUGAAAUUGUACUACAAGGUUCCAUAUCACAAAGGGAAAGCUGGAAUUGAGUUUGGGGGUAAUUGCCCUAAACGUUUAGGAAUUUGGGGCCAAAAAGGGGCCAAAAAACAAGCAUUUUUCUAGUUUCAUGACAUUAACUUGUGUGUAAGUGUAUGGAUCUUUAUGAAAUUGUACUACAAGAUUCCAUAUCACAAAGGGAAAGCUGGGUUUGAGUUUGGGGGUAAUUGCCCUAAACGUUUAGGAAUUUGGGGCCAAAAAGGGGCCAAAAAACAAGCAUUUUUCUAGUUUCAUGACAUUAACUUGUGUGUAAGUGUAUGGAUCUUUAUGAAAUUGUACUACAAGGUUCCAUAUCACAAAGGGAAAGCUGGAAUUGAGUUUGGGGGUAAUUGCCCAAAAAGUUUAGGAAUAAGGGCC